rnacentral:lncRNA from 1 species
GUUGACAAAUAUAAACAAGUUAUUAUCCAGAUAAAGAAAGAUAAAUAAUUAAUACAACUCUUUUAGCAAUGUCUCUAAUUUAGGGCGAUAUCUUUUUGCGCCAAAAAGUAACUCAUUUGCGCCACAACUUAAUUGCGCCAAUACUUCUUUUGCGCCACCUAAUUUUCAAAACUAUAGGUAUCAUUUGCGCCAAUAAAAUAAUCAUUUAAUUCCGCCAUUUUUAUUUAUUUUUUAUUUUAUUUAGCUCUGAAUUUAUCAAUUUUGAAGGUCGCUCCGACAACAUAUCGCUUGCUUUUCUUUUGCAUUUGUUUCGUGAAUAUGAUCUAAUUCUCCAUUCAAAAUAAUUGCACACGAUUCAUCUGUGAAUAGCCUAGCACAACAGGACUUAACUGUACAUCUCUACCUUAUAUCUUCAGUUUUCUUUACAAUGCCUGACGGAAUUUGUGUUCUUUAACAUGAUGACCGGUUUUCCUCUAUUGGACUCUAUUUUUUUAAUGGUAUAGAAUACAUCUUGACUCGUGACAAAAUAUUCUAUUACUUAACAAUUUAUUUUUUGGUGAGUUUUCUUAAAUUUGAUGAUAGAGUGUAUAGUUAAAUCUUAAAUGGAAAAGUUGAUUAUAGUACAUGUAUGAU